rnacentral:rRNA from 1 species
AGUGGCGAACGGGUGAGUAUCACGUGAGCAACCUGCCCGGAAGAGGGGGAUAGCCUGGGGAAACUCGGAUUAAUACCCCAUAGUAUCAUGCAGGACAUCCUGUCAUGAUUAAAGGUGCCUUCGGGUGCCACUUCCGGAUGGGCUCGCGGCCUAUCAGCUUGAUGGUGAGGUAACGGCUCACCAUGGCUCCGACGGGUAGCUGGUCUGAGAGGAUGGUCAGCCACACUGGAACUGAGACACGGUCCAGACACCUACGGGUGGCAGCAGUCGAGAAUCAUUCGCAAUGGGCGAAAGCCUGACGGUGCGACGCCGCGUGGAGGACGAAGGCCUUCGGGUCGUAAACUCCUGUCAUCAGGGAGUAAGUCAGUUGUCGUUAAUAGCGGCAGCUGUUGAUAGUACCUGAAGAGGAAGAGACGGCUAACUCUGUGCCAGCAGCCGCGGUAAUACAGAGGUCUCAAGCGUUGUUCGGAAUUACUGGGCGUAAAGCGUGCGUAGGCGGCGAGGUAAGUCAGAUGUGAAAGCUCGGGGCUCAACCCCGAAACUGCAUCCGAUACUGCCUUGCUAGAGUAAUGGAGGGGAGUCUGGAAUUCACGGUGUAGCAGUGAAAUGCGUAGAUAUCGUGAGGAACACUAGUGGCGAAGGCGAGACUCUGGACAUUUACUGACGCUGAGGCACGAAGGCUAGGGUAGCGAAGCGGAUUAGAUACCCGCGUAGUCCUAGCAGUAAACGGUGCGCGUUUGGUGUGGGAGGAUUCGACCCCUUCCGUGCCGGAGCUAACGCGUUAAACGCGCCGCCUGGGGAGUACGGUCGCAAGAUUAAAACUCAAAGAAAUUGACGGGGACCCGCACAAGCGGUGGAGUAUGUGGCUUAAUUCGAUGCAACGCGAAGAACCUUACCUGGGUUUGACAUGCUUGUCAUAGUCCUGCGAAAGCAGGACGUCAGUUCGGCUGGACUUGCACAGGUGCUGCAUGGCUGUCGUCAGCUCGUGUCGUGAGAUGUUGGGUUAAGUCCCGCAACGAGCGCAACCCCUGUGAAUAGUUGCCAGCACGUAAUGGUGGGGACUAUAUUCAGAGUGCCCAGAUGAAGUGGGAGGAAGGUGGGGACGACGUCAAGUCAGUAUGGCCUUUAUGCCCAGGGCUGCACACGU